UUCGCAAUGCCCGAAAGGGUGACGAAGCGACGCCGCGUGCGGGAAGAAGGCCUUCGGGUUGUAAACCGCUGUCGGGAGUUAAGAAGUGCAGGAGCGUUAAUAGCGUUCUUGCUUGACUAAGGCUCCAGAGGAAGCCACGGCUAACUCUGUGCCAGCAGCCGCGGUAAUACAGAGGCGGCAAGCGUUGUUCGGAAUUAUUGGGCGUAAAGAGCACGUAGGCGGCCUUGCAAGUCAGUUGUGAAAGCCUUCCGCUUAACGGAAGAAUGCCAGCUGAUACUACAGGGCUUGAGUACGGGAGGGGAGAGUGGAACUUCUGGUGGAGCGGUGAAAUGCGUAGAUAUCAGAAGGAACGCCGGCGGCGAAAGCGACUCUCUGGCCCGAAACUGACGCUGAGUGUGCGAAAGCUAGGGGAGCAAACGGGAUUAGAUACCCCGGUAGUCCUAGCCGUAAACGAUGGGCACUAAGUAGAGGGGUUUU
rnacentral:rRNA from 1 species